rnacentral:rRNA from 1 species
UACGUAGGGGGCUAGCGUUGUCCGGAAUCAUUGGGCGUAAAGAGCGCGUAGGCGGUCCGAUAAGUCGGCUGUGAAAGUCAGGGGCUCAACCCUUGGAAGCCGGCCGAUACUGUCGGACUAGAGUCCGGAAGAGGCGAGUGGAAUUCCCGGUGUAGCGGUGAAAUGCGCAGAUAUCAGGAGGAACACCGGUGGCGAAGGCGGAUCUCUGGGCCUGUCCUGACGCUGAGGCGCGAAAGCUAGGGGAGCGAACAGG